rnacentral:rRNA from 1 species
UACGUAGAUGGCAAGCGUUGUCCGGAUUUACUGGCGUAAAGGGCGUGCAGGCGGUCUGUUAAGUUCAGGGUGAAAGCUCCCGGCUCAACUGGGAGAGGUCCUUGGAUACUGGCAGACUUGAGGGAGGUAGAGGAGAGUGGAAUUCCCGGUGUAGUGGUGGAAUGCGUAGAUAUCGGGAGGAACACCGAGCGAGGAGGUCG